UGCCAGCCGCCGCGGUAAUACGGAGGGGGCAAGCGUUGUUCGGAAUUAUUGGGCGUAAAGGGCACGCAGGCGGCUAGGCAAGUUGGUGGUGAAAGCCCUCGGCUCAACCGAGGAAUUGCCCCCAAAACUGCCUGGCUUGAGUCCCGGAGAGGGUGACGGAAUUCCCAGUGUAGCGGUGAAAUGCGUAGAUACUGGGAGGAACACCAGUGGCGAAGGCGGUCACCUGGACGGGUACUGACGCUCAUGUGCGAAAGCGUGGGGAGCAAACAGGAUUAGAUA
rnacentral:rRNA from 1 species